UACAGAGGUCUCAAGCGUUGUUCGGAUUCAUUGGGCGUAAAGGGUGCGUAGGCGGCGCGGUAAGUCGGGUGUGAAAUCUUGGAGCUUAACUCCGAAACUGCAUUCGAUACUGCCUUGCUAGAGUACUGGAGAGGAGAUUGGAAUUUACGGUGUAGCAGUGAAAUGCGUAGAUAUCGUAAGGAAGACCAGUGGCGAAGGCGAAUCUCUGGACAGUUACUGACACUGAGGCACGAAGGCCAGGGGAGCAAACGGG
rnacentral:rRNA from 1 species